AGUUCCUUUGCCUUUCUCUUCGAGAAAAACCUUACUACUACUACUAUCUAUGGUUAGAAUGUUAGCUAGGGACCUUCGCUAGAAGUAAUAGUGUUCUGUGCUAGGGACGCGCCUGUUUCAACGAAAACUGCCUAGACCUGUAAAAAGAAUUUGGAAGUAUCCAAUUUGAUUCCGCCUUCACUCACAUUGGUUCAAUCGAAUUCGUUCCUUGUCACGCCUCUCGUAUAAAAAACAAAACUUAGUUUUGUAAUCAAAAUGACAAUGGAUAUAAGACCCAACCAUACCAUUUAUAUCAAUAAUCUCAAUGAAAAGAUUAAAAAAGAAGAAUUAAAGAAGUCACUUUAUGCAAUAUUUUCACAAUUUGGUCAAAUAUUGGAUAUAGUAGCAAUGAAAACCUUAAAAAUGCGUGGUCAAGCAUUUGUUAUUUUCAAGGAAAUUUCAAGUGCCACUGUUGCUUUGCGGAGCAUGCAAGGAUUUCCAUUCUAUGAUAAACCAAUGAGAAUUCAGUAUUCAAAAAUUGAUAGUGAUAUAAUAGCAAAAAGUAAAGGAACAUUUCAAGAACGACCUAAACGUCCAAAGCUACCUAAAGGUACUGAUGAUGGGAAGAAAAAGAAAAACAAAGAUCCUAGCAGACUUAUUGGGCAUGGUAUCCCUGGUGCUGGUAUCCUAAACAAUGUUAAUGCGGAACAACCUCCCAACCAAAUUCUGUUCUUGACAAACCUUCCAGAUGAAACUUCAGAGAUGAUGUUAUCAAUGUUGUUCAAUCAGUUCCCAGGCUUUAAGGAGGUUCGUCUUGUGCCAAACAGGCAUGAUAUCGCUUUUGUUGAAUUCGGAAAUGAAAUGCAAUCUGCAGCAGCCAAAGAAGCAUUACAAGGAUUCAAAAUAACACCAACACAUGCAAUGAAGAUUACUUUUGCUAAGAAAUAGUAAUAAAGACCAAAGGUUGGGGACGUGGAGGAGUCCAGGCGGGAAAACCAAAAACCAAAUCGACAACAUACUGAGUUUAGAUGCUUAAACAUGUAUAUGGGGCCGAGACAUGGACGCUCACAAAGCAAACUAUGACCAAAAUGCAAGUCAUCAGUCAAAGAACCAUGGAACGGGCUAUUCUGGGCAUUUCUCUACGAGAUAGGGUGCGCAAUACCGAAAUGUGCAGAAGAACUGGUGUGACUGACAUAGCCAAAGUGAUUGCUCGCAGAAAGUGGAAGUCGGCCGGCCACAUGUGCCGUAGCACUGACAAUCGGUGGGGCACAAAAGUAUUAGCGUGAAGGCCCUGUACUGAACAUGGGCAGAGAACAAAUGAGGUGGACCGACGACCUGGUCAAAAUAGCUGGCAAGGACUGAAUGUGAAAAGCAAGAGACCAAAAAGAAUGGAAUGCAUUUGAAGAGACAUACACUCAGCAUUGGGAAGACACUUGAAGAUGAUGAUGUGUUUCAAAGUGGAAUGUUAGACUGAAUAUUGAUUGUAUUCUAAAAAAAUCUUGAAACAGUCAAAGCUUGAAGAACAUUUAAAUUAGUGUUAUUUUUACAAAGAUGCAGUAGACGUCAUACAAGUAGUAGGUGUAUAUUCUGUGGACUGGGAACGAAUGAAGUGAAGUGGACUUUUUGGCGGGAACGCGAGGAGUGAAGUUGUGUGAUUUGUUUUAUUUUGUCUAUUUAAUAUUUCUUCAGGUUUUAAUUUGUAAUUACCAGUGGUCGGAGUAGGUAGAUUGAUUUUUUAUACUUUCGUCAAGAUAUUAUAAUAUCGACAUGCCAUUUUAUCCAUAAUGAUUAUUUUUUUAAAUUGAAAAAAAAUGUUUAAUACUCAUCGGAUAAAAUUUCUAUAUUUAUGAGAUAACAAAAACCCUGUCUAAGUUUUGUCUCAUACUGACAAGCGUCAUUUCUAAUUCAACAGAAAGGGACAAAAUACGGUGUAACUAUUCCAAGGCGUUUUUGCAUAAAAUAAAAUACUAAUUUCUUUCACCAUUAGCUAGCACUGGUAGCGUAGAUUAAUAUUAUUAAUACAUUUUUCACCUUAAACACAGAUUCACGCUAAUUUCAAAAUUCCGGAACAAAUAUCACAAUAAAUAUGAAGUUCCGGUAUUUUGGAGGCAUAUCCAUAUUAUCCUCUACGUUUGAAGUCAACGACCUUAAAUCGAUCUACCUAGUCCGACCUCUAGUAAUAACGGUGAUUUAUUAACUGUUUAAUAUCUGUGAAAGUGCACAAACGUGGGAAAAUAAAACAAAGCUACUGGACGUGAUUUCUCGGGAUCCUCCAAAAAGUCCAAUGAAAAAAUCUUAGUAAAUGACCACAAUUUUACUGAGAUUAUAUUUCAUCCCAUAUCAUCACAUCUCAUAUCAUUUAAUUUCAUCACAGUUGAUUAAUGUCUCAAAUUAAUCGUCGUCAUUUCAUUUCACUCCAUAUUAUAAUUUUUCAUAAAAAUAAGAAUAUAAAUUAAAAUAAGACUUGACUUAAAAGUUUCAGUUACCAGGUCAUAAAAACUCUUUAAAAAAAAAUAAAAAAAAAUGUAAUCACAGAAUUCACAGAUAACAUAUUUACAAUUUAUAAUAUUAUGUUAAAUUAAAAAUAUUGGAACAGUACAUAA